rnacentral:rRNA from 1 species
UACAGAGGUGGCAAGCGUUGUUCGGAAUUACUGGGCGUAAAGGGUGCGUAGGCGGCGCGGUAAGUCGGGUGUGAAAUCUCGGGGCUUAACUCCGAAACUGCAUUCGAUACUGCCGUGCUUGAGGACUGGAGAGGAGACUGGAAUUUACGGUGUAGCGGUGAAAUGCGUAGAUAUCGUAAGGAAGACCAGUGGCGAAGGCGGGUCUCUGGACAGUUCCUGACGCUGAGGCACGAAGGUCAGGGGAGCAAACGGG